rnacentral:rRNA from 1 species
UACGUAGGGUGCAAGCGUUAAUCGGAAUUACUGGGCGUAAAGCGUGCGCAGGCGGCUUUGCAAGACAGAUGUGAAAUCCCCGGGCUCAACCUGGGAACUGCAUUGUGACUGCAAGGCUGGAGUACGGUAGAGGGGGAUGGAAUUCCGCGUGUAGCAGUGAAAUGCGCAGAUAUCGGGAGGAACACCCGUAGCGAAGGCGGCACUCUGGGCCGGAACUGACGCUGAGGAGCGAAAGCGUGGGGAGCAAACAGG